UGUAAACAGAGAAAACAUGCAAAGUCCACACAGAAUGACCACAGGUGGGAAAGCCCAUGACCUUUUUGCUGUGAGGCAACAGUGCUAACCACUAAGUCACCGUGCUGCAACUGUAAUGUUGAUGUAAUACCUAUGCUUGAAUGGCAGUUUUCUCACACCAUGACUGAGUGUGUUAGAUGACCAAAAAUGUUCUCUUUGAGGUUUGAUGAAAUAUUUCACUGUAAAGAUGCAGAGGUCUGAAUUUCACUGUAAUAUUAAUAAUUGUCUUUAAUCUAGCAUUAAUCAUAAUCCUGACUAACAUUAACUUGAGAUCUGUGAUCACACUGUCAAAAUGAUACCCCACUCUGUCUUACUAGUUGCUUUGCAU